UACGUAGGUGGCAAGCGUUGUCCGGAAUUAUUGGGCGUAAAGCGCGCGCAGGCGGUCUCUUAAGUCUGAUGUGAAAUCCCGUGGCUUAACCACGGGCGGUCAUUGGAAACUGGGGGACUUGAGUGCAGAAGAGAAGAGCGGAAUUCCACGUGUAGCGGUGAAAUGCGUAGAGAUGUGGAGGAACACCAGUGGCGAAGGCGGCUCUUUGGUCUGUAACUGACGCUGAGGCGCGAAAGCCAGGGGAGCAAACGGG
rnacentral:rRNA from 1 species